UACGAAGGGGGCUAGCGUUGCUCGGAUUGACUGGGCGUAAAGGGCGCGUAGGCGGUUCGUACAGUCAGACGUGAAAUUCCUGGGCUCAACCUGGGGGCUGCGUUUGAUACGUGCGGGCUUGAGUGCGGAAGAGGGUCGUGGAAUUCCCAGUGUAGAGGUGAAAUUCGUAGAUAUUGGGAAGAACACCGGUGGCGAAGGCGGCGACCUGGUCCGAUACUGACGCUGAGGCGCGAAAGCCAGGGGAGCAAACGGG
rnacentral:rRNA from 1 species